UUUUGCUUCAGGACCAGCCUAUGGCAAUGUGCUCCAUGUGACCAGGGCUAAUGUAGCUUUGAAGGGCAUAUAAAGAAAUCAUGUGAAGGUGCCUUGGGAAUGUUCCUGUCGUCACUGUCCAGUACCUGAUGCAAAUUGUUUUCUUCAUUUUGUUAUUUAAACUGCUGGCAGGUCUGGCACAACCUGCACCCCGGUUGCUGCAUCUGCCCACACCGGCAUGGUCGGCUGCAGGGCUGAUGGACAGGUUUGCUCUGGAGGAGUCAGUGCUGCCAGGCCUUCCUGCAUCCCUGCAACACCCUCUCUACCUUCCUGUGCUCUUCGACUGCUGCUCAUCCUGCUGCAAAUAGUGCAGUCACAGCCAGCUGUUAGGAUCUGAUUAUUAAAAGAUACC